rnacentral:rRNA from 1 species
GAGUUUGAUCCUGGCUCAGGACGAACGCUGGCGGCGUGCCUAACACAUGCAAGUCGAACGGAACUUUUUUAAAAGAUUUCUUCGGAAUGAAUUUGAUUAAGUUUAGUGGCGGACGGGUGAGUAACGCGUGAGUAACCUGCCUCUAAGAGGGGAAUAACAUUCUGAAAAGAAUGCUAAUACCGCAUAAUAUAUAUUUAUCGCAUGGUAGAUAUAUCAAAGAUUUAUCGCUUAGAGAUGGACUCGCGUCCGAUUAGUUAGUUGGUGAGGUAACGGCUCACCAAGACCGCGAUCGGUAGCCGGACUGAGAGGUUGAACGGCCACAUUGGGACUGAGACACGGCCCAGACUCCUACGGGAGGCAGCAGUGGGGGAUAUUGCGCAAUGGGGGAAACCCUGACGCAGCAACGCCGCGUGAAGGAUGAAGGUCUUCGGAUUGUAAACUUCUUUUAUUAAGGACGAAGAAAGUGACGGUACUUAAUGAAUAAGCUCCGGCUAACUGCGUGCCAGCCGCCGCGGUAAUUC